rnacentral:rRNA from 1 species
CCUACGGGUGGCAGCAGUGGGGGAUAUUGCACAAUGGGGGAAACCCUGAUGCAGCGACGCCGCGUGAGUGAAGAAGUAUUUCGGUAUGUAAAGCACUAUCAGCAGGGAAGAAAAUGACAGUACCUGACCAAGAAGCACCGGAUAACUACGUGACAGCAGCCGCGGUAAUACGUAGGGGGCAAGCGGUAUCCGGAUUUACUGGGUGUAAAGGGAGCGUAGAUGGUUAGGUAAGUCUGGAGUGAAAGCCCGGGGCCCAACCUCGGGACUGCUUUGGAUACUGUGUGACUGGAGUACAGUAGGGGCAGGUGGAAUUCCUGGUGUAGCGGUGAAAUGCGUAGAGAUCAGGAGGAACACCGGCGGCGAAGGCGGCCUGCUGGACUAAAACUGACGUUGAGGCGCGAAAGCGUGGGGAGCAAACAGGAUUAGAUACCCGGGUAGUC